UUCGGUCGGGAUCGCCACCAGUCAGCGCGUUGCGCCCACUGGUGCGCUUGUC
rfam:Thioclava dalianensis strain DLFJ1-1 contig10, whole genome shotgun sequence.